UAGGGAAUCUUCCACAAUGGACGCAAGUCUGAUGGAGCAACGCCGCGUGAGUGAAGAAGGCUUUCGGGUCGUAAAACUCUGUUAUUGAAGAAGAACGUGUGUGACAGUAACUGGUCAUGCAGUGACGGUAUUCAAUCAGAAAGUCACGGCUAACUACGUGCCAGCAGCCGCGGUAAUACGUAGGUGGCAAGCGUUGUCCGGAUUUAUUGGGCGUAAAGCGAGUGCAGGCGGUCUUUUAAGUCUGAUGUGAAAGCCUUCGGCUUAACCGAAGAAGGGCAUCGGAAACUGGGAGACUUGAGUGCAGAAGAGGAGAGUGGAACUCCAUGUGUAGCGGUGAAAUGCGUAGAUAUAUGGAAGAACACCAGUGGCGAAG
rnacentral:rRNA from 1 species